GCCGUGCCUAGCACGGCCCGUUACUGUAGCAAGCGGGCCGUGCCACGGCCCGCUUCGUGCCGAGCCAUGGGCGGCCUAGCCCAAUGCCCAUCUCUAGGACUGUAUCAACAAGUAUAUGUGCUUUAAAUGAGUAUAUUAUGCAAUAACUUCUUGAUGUAAUUUUUUUUCUUACCUAGCAAGAUUGGUUAGUCAUACACGUCACAAAAAAAAAGACAGGAUUGAUCUCAAGUUAAUUCAAAAAUAAGCAUUUUCAACUAUUUGUUCGGAGCCUGAAUUUUCAACAAGUGUGUGUGCUUUAAUGGUCAUAUAUCCAAUAACUUCUUGAAUAGUAGCAUAUGAUGUGAAUUUUUUUCUUACUUAGCAAGACUGGUUAGUCAUACAUCACAAAAAAAUAAAAAAAGGACAUCGGGCUUGAUCUCUAGUUAAUUCAAAAAAUAAGCAUUUUCAACUAUUUGUUUUCUUCUAUUGGAGCCUGAAUUUUGGACUCAAAUUUCCAAUUAACCCCCAAAAGGCUGGAACUUGGCUUGCAUGAAAAAGGAGGGCCGAGGCUCCAGCCUCGAAAGAUGAGUCCAAAGAUGAUCUUACGGUGGAUGGGCGCGAAGGAUGGUGAAUCCUUCUUUCGCGCGCGGAGGGUACUAGCUACAGUCCCUUUUUCGUUCAUUAUGUGUUGCCCUCUUCCGUGAGUAUGAGCCGAACUCUACUUACGCCUAUAAUGGCUCGGAUUCGUCCUCCUGCAUCAAAACUUCUUCUUUCUCUGACCACAUUAGCUUUGCUAGGGUCUGCAACAAAAGUUUUCUAUCUUGCUGGGAACUUUUCAUAACGCUGGCUAUCCCAAAUGACUUAUCUCAUCAUAUGUACCAUAAUAAAGAAAACAUUAACCGUUGUUUACUUCGUCAAGCUCUUCACUGGAUUUUCCUAGGAAUACCAUAACAUCUUAAAAUGGCCACUAUUAUCUACUAUAACAUUAAUUAACAAACAAAAUGGUAUAAUAAUGAUUUAAUUGCUAUGUUAGGAUUAGCUCUUGAUCAUUUUUUUUAACCAUCAAUUCUCAUUUACAUUUUACCUUGUUUUUGUGCAUAAUUAAUAUCUUAUUGCACAAUUGUUUUUUUGACUCGGACACAAUUGUUUUAGAUUGGGACCAGGUUAUAUAUGGAUUGACCCAACCUAAAUGACCCG
rnacentral:lncRNA from 1 species